CAAGAAAAGGUCAGGAUAGCUCAGUUGGUAGAGCAGAGGACUGAAAAUCCUCGUGCCCCCAGUUCAAAUA
rnacentral:tRNA from 1 species